AGGAUCAACGCUGGCGGCGUGCCUAAUGCAUGCAAGUCGAACGGUGGGCCUUCGGGUCCGCCGUGGCGAACGGCUGAGGAACACGUGCGUAUCGGCCUUCUCGUGGGGAAUAACGCGUGGAAACACGUGCUAAUACCGCGUACGCUUGCCUUCGGGUAAGGAAAGCCUUCGGGCGCGGGAAGAGGAGCGCGCGGCCCAUCAGGUAGAUGGCGGGGUAACGGCCCACCAUGCCCGUGACGGGUCGCUGGUCUGUGAGGACGGCCAGCCAGACUGGGACUGCGACACGGCCCAGACACCUACGGGUGGCAGCAGCAGGAAUCUUCGGCAAUGGGCGCAAGCCUGACCGAGCAACGCCGCGUGGAGGACGACGGCCUUCGGGUUGUAAACUCCUUUUGUGGGGGACGAAACGGACUGUACCCCGCGAAUAAGCCCCGGCUAACUCUGUGCCAGCAGCCGC
rnacentral:rRNA from 1 species